GAUGAACGCUGGCGGCGCGCCUAAUACAUGCAAGUCGAGCGGACCAAAGAGAGCUUGCUCUCUGAGGUUAGCGGCGGACGGGUGAGUAACACGUGGGUAACCUGCCUGUAAGACGGGGAUAACUUCGGGAAACCGAAGCUAAUACCGGAUGAUAAAGAGAAACGCCUGUUUCUUUUUUGAAAGUCGGCCUUGUGCUGACGCUUACAGAUGGGCCCGCGGCGAAUUAGCUAGUUGGUGAGGUAACGGCUCACCAAGGCGAUGAUGCGUAGCCGACCUGAGAGGGUGAUCGGCCACACUGGGACUGAGACACGGCCCAGACUCCUACGGGAGGCAGCAGUAGGGAAUCUUCGGCAAUGGACGAAAGUCUGACCGAGCAACGCCGCGUGAGCGAUGAAGGCCUUCGGGUCGUAAAGCUCUGUUGUCAGAGAAGAACAAGUACCGGAGUAACUGCCGGUACCUUGACGGUACCUGACCAGAAAGCCACGGCUAACUACGUGCCAGCCGCCGCGGUAA
rnacentral:rRNA from 1 species